GGAAGUACAGAGUCAAUGUGGAGGCUAUAUACAGGGUAUUACGGUACAGAGUCAAUGUGGAGGCUAUAUACAGGGUAUUACGGUACAGAGUCAAUGUGGAGGCCAUAUACAGGGUGUUACUGUACAGAGUCAAUGUGGAGGCUAUAUACAGGGGGUACUGGUACAGAGUCAAUGUGGAGGCUAUAUACAGGGUAUUACGGUACAGAGUCAAUGUGGAGGCUAUAUACAGGGUAUUACGGUACAGGGUCAAUGUGGAGGCUAUAUACAGGGUAUUACGGUACAGAGUCAAUGUGGAGGCUAUAUACAGGGUAUUACGGUACAGAGUCAAUGUGGAGGCCAUAUACAGGGUGUUACUGUACAGAGUCAAUGUGGAGGCUAUAUACAGGGUAUUACGGUACAGAGUCAAUGUGGAGGCCAUAUACAGGGUGUUACUGUACAGAGUCAAUGUGGAGGCUAUAUACAGGGUGUUACGGUACAGAGUCAAUGUGGAGGCUAUAUACAGGGUGUUACUGUACAGAGUCAAUGUGGAGGCUAUAUACAGGGUGUUACGGUACAGAGUCAAUGUGGAGGCUAUAUACAGGGUUG
ensembl:lncRNA